AGCAGCGCACACGCGUUCCAUCUGCGAAUUCAUACGCGCACGCGAAGCCGGUUGAGUAGUGCGUAACUCCGGUGCCAAGAAUUUCGAGUGAUGUUGUAACGGAGAUAUAACCGAGGUGGUUCGUAUUUCGGGCCUUGAUAAUGACGAAUGAUCCGAGAGAAUGAAAGAACUUUGAUAUUCUUGGCAAUUGCGAAGUGACAGCUUAGCUUGCCAAUUAGAUGUCAAGAGGCUGAGAGGAUUCUGCGACAUCGCAAUGUGAAUAUUAAGGGGAGAAUUAAAUUUUUAAAAUAAACAAGCUAGACCAACGACUUCGGGUACACCGAAGAAUACAACAAAAAAACGAAAUUUAAAUGGUCUUUAAGGAAAAAGAAGAAAAGAACAAAAAAUGUGACGUAUCACAAAGUACAUAAGGGUAAAUUUACAAAAACAGAGGAAUGGCUCAGUUUCGUUGCGUGCUUCUUUUGUCUCUCUCUACACUGUUGUAUAUAAGCGCUGUUCUGAGUGAUGUCCUCCAAGCGAGUCAUCAAAAUCAUCAGAUUCAUCAGCAUCAUGGAUUUACCCACCGUCAUCGACCACAGAAUCCAAACCCGUUGAGUUGGUCACCGCGGCAUGGCGAACAUGCGACUUUGUAUGCGCACAGCCGACACAAUCAUGAAUCUCAGCGACGCGAGUCGCGUCUUCUUACCUACCGGAACGAGCCUUCGCCGGCGACGAGGACGACGACCACGAUGACGACGUCGACGACGAAGACGACGACUAUGACGACGUCGCCAAGUGCGAGCAAAGUUAUUUCGUAUGAACCCGCGCGUCAGGAUAUACACUGGCAACAGCAGCAUCAGCGAUCCAUCAAUUCCAGUGCCAUUGAUUACAGCAAGUAUCAGUCGGG